CCCCUUUCUAUUUCUCACGCCCCAUAAAUUGUAAAAUGCCAUGUGUACAUCAAAGUUGGGUUGAAGAGGUGCCUUAUUUCAGAAGGACUCUUCGAUCUUAACUUAUGGUGUUCACAUGAGAAGUCACAAAGCUUCUCUUAUUGGCACCAUCAACCCUUGCCUUUGGAUCUGGAAGGAAGCCCAUCCAAUGGCCAAGAUAGAGGGUGCUAACUUCAGGA
rnacentral:lncRNA from 1 species